rnacentral:rRNA from 1 species
CGGCACGGGUGCGUAACACGUAUGCAAUCUACCUUUAACUGGGGAAUAACCCCUCGAAAGAGGGGCUAAUACCGCAUAACACUUCGAUGGGACAUCCCAAUGAAGUCAAACCUACGGGGGUUGAAGAUGAGCAUGCGUCCGAUUAGCUAGUUGGCGGGGUAACGGCCCACCAAGGCAACGAUCGGUAGGGGAUCUGAGAGGAUGAUCCCCCACACUGGUACUGAGACACGGACCAG